rnacentral:rRNA from 1 species
CACGUAGGGGGCAAGCGUUGUCCGGAUUCAUUGGGCGUAAAGAGCUCGUAGGCGGUUCGAUAAGUCGGGUGUGAAACCUCCAGGCUCAACCUGGAGACGCCACCCGAUACUGUCGUGACUAGAGUCCAGUAGGGGAGCGUGGAAUUCCUGGUGUAGCGGUGAAAUGCGCAGAUAUCAGGAGGAACACCAGCGGCGAAGGCGGCGCUCUGGGCUGGCACUGACGCUGAGGAGCGAAAGCGUGGGGAGCAAACAGG